UAGGGAAUCUUCCACAAUGGACGCAAGUCUGAUGGAGCAACGCCGCGUGAGUGAAGAAGGUCUUCGGAUCGUAAAGCUCUGUUGUUGGUGAAGAAGGAUAGAGGCAGUAACUGGUCUUUAUUUGACGGUAAUCAACCAGAAAGUCACGGCUAACUACGUGCCAGCAGCCGCGGUAAUACGUAGGUGGCAAGCGUUGUCCGGAUUUAUUGGGCGUAAAGCGAGCGCAGGCGGAAUGAUAAGUCUGAUGUGAAAGCCCACGGCUCAACCGUGGAACUGCAUCGGAAACUGUCAUUCUUGAGUGCAGAAGAGGAGAGUGGAACUCCAUGUGUAGCGGUGGAAUGCGUAGAUAUAUGGAAGAACACCAGUGGCGAAGGCGGCUCUCUGGUCUGCAACUGACGCUGAGGCUCGAAAGCAUGGGUAGCGAACAGGAUUAGAUACCCUGGUAGUCCAUGCCGUAAACGAUGAGCGCUAGGUGUUGGGGACUUUCCGGUUCUCAGUGCCGCAGCAAACGCAUUAAGCGCUCCGCCUGGGGAGUACGACCGCAAGGUUGAAA
rnacentral:rRNA from 1 species